GGACUACCGGGGUAUCUAAUCCUGUUUGCUCCCCACGCUCUCGCGCCUCAGUGUCAGUAUCUGUCCAGGUAGCCGCCUUCGCCACUGGUGUUCCUUCCGAUCUCUACGCAUUUCACCGCUACACCGGAAAUUCCACUACCCUCUACAGUACUCCAGUUGAGCAGUUUCGCUUGCAGUUCCCAGGUUAAGCCCGGGGAUUUCACAAACAACUUACUCAACCACCUACGCGCCCUUUACGCCCAGUAACUCCGAUUAACGCUUGCACCCUCUGUAUUACCGCGGCGGCUGGCAC
rnacentral:rRNA from 2 species